ACUUGCAACUUAUAUAAGGUCGUGAAACCGAUGUAUUUCAGAUAAAAACGUGCAUCACGUGUCAUAACUCGAAUUCAGCUCUUCAAAAUGUCACGUCUUGUGUUUGCAGUUGUCGUAGCGGUCUUCUUGCUUGGAGGAUUCUGUAUGCAAUCUGACGGAAGGCGAGGAAGACACCAACGUGGGGAAGUAAAUACAACUUGCCUUGUGGACAGCCUUCCGGAUGAGAUACAAACAUCUUUUAGCGAUUGUAUUGCCAACGAAACAAAUGUUUGGGUGCGCGAGGUCAAGAUG